rnacentral:rRNA from 1 species
GACGAACGCUGGCGGCGUGCUUAACACAUGCAAGUCGAACGGAAAGGCCCUGCUUUUGUGGGGUGCUCGAGUGGCGAACGGGUGAGUAACACGUGAGUAACCUGCCCUUUACUUUUUGAUAACUUCAGGAAACUUGGGCUAAUACCGGAUAGGAUCUCCUGCUGCAUUGUGGGGGUUGGAAAGUUUCGGCGGUUGGGGAUGGACUCGCGGCUUAUCAGCUUGUUGGUGGGGUUGUGGCUUACCAAGGCUUUGACGGGUAGCCGGCCUGAGAGGGUGACCGGCCACAUGGGGACUGAGAUACGGCCCAGACUCCUACGGGAGGCAGCAGUGGGGAAUAUUGCACAAUGGGCGGAAGCCUGAUGCAGCAACGCCGCGUGCGGGAUGACGGCCUUCGGGUUGUAAACCGCUUUCGCCUGUGACGAAGCGUGAGUGACGGUAAUGGGUAAAGAAGCACCGGCUAACUACGUG